rnacentral:lncRNA from 1 species
GAGCCUAAAUGUUUAUUUGGAGAGUUAAUAAUCUGUGCACCAUUGUUUUCUAAAGUCGCUGCAUGAUCUCAUUAUUCUUUGCUUGCUUGCUACUUAGAAUGCGUUUCAUCAUUUAGUUCGAAAUGCUAGAACUCAUGCCUAUUUCAUUCAAAGCAUGCUAUUGAUUUGCAUAACACAUAUUCAAGAUGAAGUUGUGUAGUGACCACCAAAGCCAAAUUGCCGUGCACCUAUUUCAUUAUGUGUUUAAGUUUAACCCCGUUGAACCUUGUUAAGCCUAUGUUCUUUGUUAAUCCACACUAUCCUUACCUAGCCUAGUUUUAGGACCAUCCAUACCCUUAUUCUUGAAGCAUAGUAAAGCAUGACUUAAAAUGAACUCCUUUUUUUAUCAAUGUAUUGCAGAAAGCAAGUGUGGGGGAAGUGAUUCUAUGUAUGUGUGUGUGCCAAAGUCCUUAAUAAGGCAUGGGUAAAAAUAAAAAAAAGAAUUGAAAAAAAAAGUAUGAAAAAGAGCUCUAAAGUGUUGUUUGUUAAAGAAAGGGUUCAAAACAUUGAAUUCGGCCCUAAGUGUUGCAUGAAUCUUCCCUUUGCAUUUAAAAGUUGCUACCGCUUUAAGAACGUUUGUUAUCCCCAUCCUUUCUUUGUUAGCCAUUACCCCCAAGCCCUGUUACAACCCUUGACUUCAAUCUUGAGUGUUGUGUGCUUCAAUUUGUGGAGUUCGAAAUUGGUAUGAGCAUAUGGUGUCACUGGCUCUCACAUCUAAGUAGUAGCAUUCCAUUCAUAAGAUCAUAUCUAAACAUGCUUAAUAAAUCCAGAAAAUUGCUUUCUUUGUUAUAGCAUAUGUGAGUCCUAGUCUUUCAUGUUUACAUCAAUCUUCUCACAUAUACUAGUGUAGGGUGUGUAGUCAGAAAAUGUGUGUGAAAAUAGAGAGUAUCUUGUAAGGAAUUGAGCAAAUUCUCUAAGGCAUGUUACUACAUUCAAAACAUUGUUUUAAUUGGUUAAUUGUGAACUAGUAAGUGGUGACUGUGAUUAAGUAUGUGCUCAAGCGUAAAGAUGACCAAAAUCUGUGGGAAUGAUGAUUUUUAACAUGUUAUGUUUCAUUAAAAAUCCCUGAGGCAAAUGUUGGAAGAUCUAGGUUGUGUUUUGUUUGUUUCGUUUGUUUUGUUUUGCUCGAGGACUAGCAAAAGCUAAGUGUGGGGGAAUUUGAUAGGAACAUAUUUAUGCGACUGAGUAGCUUGUUCUCAUGCAUUUAUGUUGUUAUUUCUUAGUUAAUUAUGUAUUUUAAGCUAUUUUCGUGUGUUUGUAGGUCCAUAGGCCUUAUAAAGCAAUAAGAUGCAUUUUGGUGCAUUUUGGAGCAGUUUUGGGCUUGGAAUGAAUAACACAUGCAUGGAGCAAGGUGGAUGGGCGAAAUUGAAGACUAAAGAGGCUAGGAAUGUGCUAAAGAGAAAGAAGAAUUAAUGUAAAAAGGACAAAGAGCUCAGCCACAAAGAGGUGUCACUCCACCAUUCACAUUUCCAUCAUUGCCGUGCACCACCAUUGCACUCCCUUUGGAUUCCUAUGCCGUGCAUCAUCAUCCAUGUUCCCUCCAUUGACUCAUUUGUUGCAUCAUUCCACUUCCUUUCCUUUGUCUACCAUGUGCACAAUAUCCUUUCACCUCCUUGCACUUAUUGAUUCACCACUUACUCACCUUUCCACCCAUGCCAUGCAUAAUCACCCUUGUCCCCUUUAUGCACCAGAUUUCUUGCACUCAUUUCAUGCACCAUUACACUCAUUACACUUCAUUGCCGUGCACCACCCUUGUCUCCUUCAUUAUUUCUGAUUUCAUGCAUCAAUACAUUGAAUCAUUACACUCAAUUGCUGCACACUCCUUGUUCCCUUCACCCAUCAGAUUUCAUACAACUUUUACCUCCACUACAUACACUCAUUGAUGCACCAUCCACCACCUUUGGAAUCCCAUGUCGUGCAUCAUGACAUUUGCGGCACCUUUGACUCAUUUCUGCACCAUUCCACCUCCCUUUCCUUUCUAUACCAUGUGCACAAUCAUUCAUGUUUCCUAGCUGCAACACCAUUCCAUUUUACCCCCCAUGCUUUACAUCAUCACUUCACUUUCACCUUUGAAUCAUUUUAACACCACUCCUUGCACUCAUUGCUGCAACACCACUCCAUUUUACCCCCAUGCUUUGCAUCAUUACUUCAUUUUCACCCUUAAUCAUUGCACACACCACCAAUUCACCUUCCUUGUCGUGCACUUCCUCUAUAAAAGGAAGUGUGUGUGGCAGCCAUAGAGUUUAGUUUUGGCUUGAUCAUUCAUCCCCAUUUCAAUACAACCUUCAUCCAAACACAUCAAUUCAUCUUCACAUCCAUUUCUCCAUACAAACAAACCUUCAAACACUCACCAACACCUUGUGCCGUAGCAAAGGAAGGGGAAGGAAAGUGCUUGGACGUGCUUGCUGUCCAACUUGGA